UACGUAGGGUGCGAGCGUUAAUCGGAAUUACUGGGCGUAAAGCGUGCGCAGGCGGUUCGUUAAGUCAGAUGUGAAAGCCCCGGGCUCAACCUGGGAGCUGCAUUUGAAACUGGCGGGCUUGAGUGUGGCAGAGGGGGGUGGAAUUCCGCGUGUAGCAGUGAAAUGCGUAGAGAUGCGGAGGAACACCGAUGGCGAAGGCAGCCCCCUGGGCCAACACUGACGCUCAGGCACGAAAGCGUGGGGAGCAAACAGG
rnacentral:rRNA from 1 species